UGGGGAAUAUUGGACAAUGGGGGAAACCCUGAUCCAGCGAUGCCGCGUGUGUGAAGAAGGCCUGAGGGUUGUAAAGCACUUUCGUCGGGGAAGAAAGCGUCCGGGUGAAUAAUCCGGACGGGUGACGGUACCCGAAUAAGAAGCACCGGCUAACUCUGUGCCAGCAGCCGCGGUAAUACAGAGGGUGCAAGCGUUAAUCGGAAUUACUGGGCGUAAAGCGCACGUAGGUGGCCAGACAAGUUAGAUGUGAAAGCCCUGGGCUCAACCUGGGAACUGCAUCCAAAACUGGCAAGCUAGAGUAUGGUAGAGGGUGUGGAAUUUCCUGUGUAGCGGUGAAAUGCGUAGAUAUAGGAAGGAACACCAGUGGCGAAGGCGACCACCUGGACUGAUACUGACACUGAGGUGCGAAAGCGUGGGGAGCAAACAGGAUUAGAUACCCGAGUAGUCCCUGAGCGGGCUGGCAAGGCGCAU
rnacentral:rRNA from 1 species